rnacentral:rRNA from 1 species
UACGUAGGCAGCAAGCGUUGUUCGGAAUUACUGGGCGUAAAGAGUGUGUAGGCGGUGUUCUAAGUCUGUUGUGAAAUCUCCCGGCUUAACUGGGAGGGUGCGGCGGAAACUGGAAUGCUAGAGGAUGGGAGAGGUAAGCGGAAUUCCUGGUGUAGCGGUGAAAUGCGUAGAUAUCAGGAGGAACACCAAUGGCGAAGGCAGCUCGCUGGGACGGUACUGACGCUGAGACGCGAAAGCGUGGGGAGCAAACAGG